UACAGAGGCCUCGAGCGUUAGGCGGAAUCACUGGGCUUAAAGCGUGUGUAGGCGGAUCGUUAAGUACCUUGUGAAAUCCCACGGCUUAACCGUGGAACUGCUUGGUAUACUGGCGGUCUUGAGCCAGCUAGGGGCUACCGGAACAAAUGGUGGAGCGGUGAAAUGCGUAGAUAUCAUUUGGAACGCCAAUGGUGAAAACAGGUAGCUGGGGCUGUGCUGACGCUGAGACACGAAAGCCAGGGGAGCAAACGGG
rnacentral:rRNA from 1 species